AACGAACGCUGGCGGCAGGCCUAACACAUGCAAGUCGAACGGGAUCUUCGGAUCUAGUGGCGGACGGGUGAGUAACGCGUGGGAACGUGCCCUCUGGUUCGGAAUAGCCCUGGGAAACUGGGAGUAAUACCGGAUACGGUCGAGAGACGAAAGAUUUAUCGCCGAAGGAUCGGCCCGCGUUGGAUUAGGUAGUUGGUGGGGUAAAGGCCUACCAAGCCGACGAUCCAUAGCUGGUUUGAGAGGAUGAUCAGCCACACUGGGACUGAGACACGGCCCAGACUCCUACGGGAGGCAGCAGUGGGGAAUCUUAGACAAUGGGGGAAACCCUGAUCUAGCCAUGCCGCGUGAGCGAUGAAGGCCUUAGGGUUGUAAAGCUCUUUCGUGGGGGAAGAUAAUGACUGUACCCCAAGAAGAAGCCCCGGCUAACUCCGUGCCAGCCGCCGCGGUAAGAC
rnacentral:rRNA from 1 species